rnacentral:rRNA from 1 species
GACGAACGCUGGCGGCGUGCUUAACACAUGCAAGUCGAGCGAGGCCCUCCUUCGGGGGGUGCCCUAGCGGCGAACGGGUGAGUAACACGUGGGCAACCUGCCCUCAGCUCUGGGAUAACUCCAAGAAAUUGGUGCUAAUACCGGAUGUGACCGCUGACCGCAUGGUCUGGUGGUGGAAAGAUUUAUCGGCUGAGGAUGGGCCCGCGGCCUAUCAGCUUGUUGGUGGGGUCACGGCCCACCAAGGCGACGACGGGUAGCCGGCCUGAGAGGGUGACCGGCCACACUGGGACUGAGACACGGCCCAGACUCCUACGGGAGGCAGCAGUGGGGAAUAUUGCGCAAUGGGCGAAAGCCUGACGCAGCGACGCCGCGUGA